rnacentral:misc_RNA from 1 species
AAGUCGUAACAAGGUAUCCGUAGGUGAACCUGCGGAUGGAUCAUUAGUGGAUGAUGGAGGAAUGUGAGUGGUUUUAAUAAGUAAUUGGGCGAUGUUGGUUGGAUGCCUAGCGGGCCAGCCAAUAUUACUCACGGUAAACUCUGUAAAUCUAAAAUACAAACAUAACAAAAACAACUUUUAGCAACGGAUCUCUUGGCUCUC